rnacentral:rRNA from 1 species
AGACAGAGGUGGCGAGCGUUGUUCGGAAUUACUGGGCUUAAAGGGCGAGUAGGCGGUGGGACAAGUCUGAGGUGGAAUCCUAUGGCUUAACCAUAGAACUGCCUUAGAAACUGUUUUACUUGAGUCAGUGAGGGGAGGGCGGAAUUCCCGGUGUAGCGGUGAAAUGCGUAGAUAUCGGGAGGAAGGCCGGUGGCGAAGGCGGCCCUCUGGCACUGUACUGACGCUGAGGCGCGAAAGCGUGGGGAGC